rnacentral:lncRNA from 1 species
UUGCCCCAGCAUUCUUUCACAAACCAAAACCAACUUCUAAGAAAAAAAUGAGGUCCCUAAUGGCCUCUGCUUCUCUCACUCUUGCAUUAGCCAUCCUCUUUUUGAGUUUCCCAUCUGAAAUUUCAGCAAACAAAUACGCAUAUUCCUCUCCACCACCACCACAUUACUCAUCUCCUCCACCUCCACCGGUUCACACUUACCCUAAACCAGUCUACCACUCUCCACCACCACCAGUUCACACCUACCCUAAACCAGUUUACCACUCUCCACCACCACCAGUUCACAAGUACCCUCACCCUAAACCAGUAUACCACUCUCCACCACCCCCAGUUCACAAGUACCCUCAUCCACACCCAGUCUACCAUUCUCCACCACCCCCAGUUCACAAGUACCCCCAUCCUCACCCAGUGUACCACUCUCCCCCACCACCACCACCAAAGAAGUCCUACAAAUACCCAUCUCCCCCACCACCACCAGUUCACACCUACCCUAAACCAGUCUACCACUCUCCUCCACCCCCAGUUCAUCACACCUACCCUAAACCAGUCUACCACUCUCCUCCACCCCCAGUUCACACCUACCCUCACCCUAAACCAGUCUACCACUCUCCACCACCCCCAGUUCACACUUACCCUAAACCAGUCUACCACUCCCCACCACCACCAGUUCACACCUACGUCCCUCACCCUAAGCCAGUCUACCACUCUCCACCACCACCAGUUCACACCUAUCCCCCACAUGUUCCCCACCCAGUUUACCAUUCUCCUCCUCCUCCAGUUCAUUCCCCACCUCCACCACACUAUUACUACAAAUCACCUCCUCCACCUUACCACAACUAGAUAGCCCAUAAUUGGCAUCACACCAUAUGGUAACUUUUCAUGCAACAUAUAUAUUAUAACUUUUCAUAUUCUCUCUUUAUUAACUAGUUAUCGGUAUGAUUGUCGAGUAUAUACUAACAAGGCUAAUUUGAAAUGAAACUUCAUGUGCAAUGAAACAUUCUUUUACUGGUUAAUAUUUUAUUCUAUGUUUCAUUGAAAUUAAUAUUUUUCUAAUAGUAUUUGGUUAUUAAGGGAUUAGAGUAUAUCAGACAUAAACUGACAGAUCAAUAUAUUUGCAUUUGUGUAGGAUCUAAACAGAAAGUGUGAAAGCAAAGAAAGCCAUGCACAAAGAAGAUCAAGGGGAUUCUUCACAUAUAUUUCGUCAGCAUUUGAUUAAGAUUGUUUAGAGGGCUCCGUUUAUUUGUAUUUAAUUUGUGUUUUUGUUGUAUUAUCCACAGCUGUAAGGCACUGCCCCAAUAUGCAUGUGUCUGCAGUUGUUUUCAUGCAUUGUAAUUUUCAAAGUUCGGCUUUGUAUCAAGCUGACUCACAAACUAAAUAAAUAUAUAUCCCCUAUUAUAGUAAUCUGUCCCUUUCAUCUAUGACUCCUUUUAUAUUACUAUUCUUGUGAUAAAAAUAAUCUGUGUUUAUUUGUUUCUACUAAUUAUUUUUGGUUUACCUUUCUCCGUACAAAUAAAAUUUAGUUUAAAAGUGAAUUUGACAGCACUUUUAAGAGAAACCUAAAAGAAAUAGAAGAAUAAUGCUUCUCAAAAGAUUAAAAAAAGACCACUAUAUUAUAUAUAUGUGAACCAAGGAUCAUGUCUCAAUGUGUGUGUUUUUUCUUUUAACGAGAAAGAUCUAUAAUUAUAAUGUAAACAAGAGUACAAUGAGUACUACAACUCACUACAAAAAGAGGUGCAACACUUCAAACGAAAAAAAUAGCACACACCAUAAGCAAUACAAAAGCAUUAGUCUACAAAGCCAAUAGGGUGGCAUUUAACAUGGGGCAGUAAAAUUUUAUCCCACCAUGGAAAAGUGGAUCCAUUAUGGGCAGGUGGCAGUUUUAACUUGCUGCAGUUAAAAAAAGAAGAAAAAAAAAAUUACUUAUUAUUUUAUUCGGUUUCAACUUGCUAUUUCACCUCCUUGUUGCUGCAAUAAAAAAGGAUCUCCAGUAAAUUUGCUCCAAACCAACCCCAUCGGCCAUCUCUACACCUCAUCUGCGCCAAUCCACCAUUGUGUUUUUCUCUUACCAUCUUCAUGAGGAGCUGUUGAGAGUGAUGCCCAAUUGGCCAUGAAAUAUAUCCAACCAAUUUGCGCUCAAAUUUUCCAUGAAUGCAAAACAGACUCCUUUUGUUUGACACAUGCAUUUAUAUUUGUUUGGAUGGUAUCAUUGUGGAGAUGGUUGGAGAAAAUUUCAUGAAGUGAUUCUUCUAUUAGCUGAGGAAGAAAUUGGAAAAGAAUCAUUAUUUUUUUCUACCCAUUAUUUUAUAUGUAUAUAACUGUGUCGGUUUCUUUUCAAUUUUUUGGUUUGAAUGGAAUUUUAUUAAAUUUGAAAAACCAGUUUAUUUUUCCUCGAAAAAAGAAAUAGUUUAUUUUCUAAUAUAAAAGUGUUAUUCUACCACCUGACCAAAAAAAGUGUUAUUCUACCAAAAAAUAUUUAAUUAAAAGCGUUAAUUAUACCCAAAAAUACAAAAAAAAAAUUGCUUUUAAUUAGUAAAUAUGUUGUGGCUCAUACUCGAAGGUUACUUUAUAAGCCCCCCUCAUAUCUCUCUAGGCCCCCUAAAGUUACAAAAAUAUCCUCAAAUAACACAUUCUGUACAUACCUACGGAAGGUGAAUGUUUUUAAUUUUAUUUUUGCAGCUUCUGUACAUACCUACCGGACAGAGAAUUGAGGCAAAUAUUUAGGAAACUAAUAUGAAAAAAAGCCUGAAACUGAGUCCAUAAAUUCUCCAUUGAUGAAAAGCUUUUAAAACUUUAUAGUUGGAAUCUUUACAAAGGAGUCUAAGAUGAUGUGAUUUGCCAUCUCUAUUUCUCUGUCUACCUUUCAACAGGGACUACAAAGAGAAAAUUUUCAAUUGAGAAAAACUAUGAACUUCCUGAUGAACAAAUGGACAAGUUAUCACAAUUGGGGCUGAGAGGUUUCGUUGCCCAGAAGUCCUUUUCCAUCCAUCUAUGAUUUCAAAAUAUCUAUUUGGAAUGUAACUACAGAAAGUGUAAAUCUGAAAAUGUGAAAAUAUGCCUCCGGUAUGUACAUACCGAAGGUGCAAAAUGUGGAGAGAAAAAAUAUGCACUACCGGUUUGUAUCUACUGAAUGUGUUGUGAAGGUUAUUUUUGUAUUUUUAGGAGGCCUAAAAAGAUAUUGGAGGGGCCUAAAAAGUAACCUUCCAUUCUUAGAAGAAAAAAAAAUGGAAGCCAACAUCCAAACACAUAAAAGCCCACAAUCAAUUAUAAACAUAAACAAUUUGUUGUGGGGUAAAAAUUUUUGUAGUAGGUUUAAUUGGCAAAAAGUUAGAAGAAGGUUGCCAUCAACAAAUCUGAACCAUUCACUUAAAAUAUUAAUAUAUCAAUGGUUAAAACAUCAACUUUUUUAUGAUGGGAAAAAACUUCACUUUCCCAUUUUAAACCCCACCAGCCAAUAGAGAGAAACUACAUCAAAAGCUACACCACCUCAACAAGAACAAAAAGAUAAAUGGAGAAAAUUGAACCCGAAAUUUAUCAAGGACAGUCUCAAUUUGUGUGUUUUGAUACUUUUGUGUCUCAAAAUAAUUGAAUCAUUUGUAAAAUAAAAAAAAUUGUCUCACAAUAAUUUACUCGUUUCGCUUUUCAAUACAAUAUUAAUUACUUUUUUUUUAUUUAUAACUCUAAUUAAUACUACUUUCAUCAUUCCAAAUUUAAUAUCAAUAUAUUGAAUUUGGAGUAACGUAGAAUGUACAAAUAUUUGACAACACACUUAAAACCAUUUUUCACUCUUUCACUUAUAUAUUUUUUCUUAAUAUAUGUGAAAUGAACAAACGACUCACUUAUAUUAUAAAUCAGAGAAGUAUUUAGUUCAAGACUUUGUAUUGCUAAACUUUGACAUGUCUUGUGUUUAGUUUAGCCCCUUUAUUGAACAGGAAAAAAUACCGCAACUUCAGUAUCCCGGGCUAAAUGCCACCCCCCAUUCCCCAUAAGUUGCCAAAAGAAUAAAUAAACUCUGCUUUUGAUACAUAGACAUCCCUCGUUCCAACCAUCUAUGCAUAAAGACUCAAUAUAACGGCAAUUCAUCGAAGUACAUAAACCAAUUGUUUAAGGUGUACUAUUAGAGAAUCAAACCGAGGAACUAGUGGCGGAGCCAGGAAAUUUAUGGAGCUUGGGCAAAAAAUUAAUCGUAAAUUCACAUGUGACAUAAUAUAUAAACAGUCAUAAAUUGAAAGAAAAAUUUUUUUUUUCCUAAAAAAAAUUGAAAUAAAAGAUGUUUAUCAUUUUGUAAACAAAAGUACAAUUUAAAAUAUGAUUAUUAAUUGAAAUUGACCACGUAAUAUACAUGAAGUCUGAAAAUUGACCCUGCUGUAAUUAAAUAACAUGUAUUCUGACCAUGUAAUUCGAGAUUUUUAUUAUUUAUAACAUGUAAUAUACGCGAAGUCCAAAAAAGCAACCGAGAGAUUUAAUUUUUUCAUGAUUUCCUAGAGGCGAGUUAAGAACGUUAAAAUAUGGCUUUAACAAAAAAAAUAUAAAUUUUCGACAAACGACAAAUUAAUUAUGAUUUUUUAAAGUGUCAAAAGCUCAAAAAACAAAACAACGGAAAUCUCAAUCAAUAAAUCGAAUUUUGAGCUCAUUAUUUGCAGAGAGAUCUAUAAAAAUACAUAAAAAGGAUCUGUAAAGUUUCAUAGCAUUUCGAAGUCGUUUAAAUUUAUUUUGAUUUUUCAACUGAAACAUGUAAAAUUGAAAUUUUGUUUCGCGUAAGCGUAUACUCACAAGUCAAAUUUAGUUCCCUAAUUUUGUAGGCAUGACUAGAACAUGAUAAGAACCUUCACAAUGAAAUUUUGUAAUUUUUAAACUAGAUACAAAUUAAUUAUAAAUUGUUUAAGAAAUUCAUAAUUAUGAUGGAAUAAAAAUUCAUAAUUAAUUUAUCCCUGGUCGAAGAAAUUUAAUUUUGAGUAAAGCUAUAUUUUAACGUGCUAAAUAUGUAUGAAAAAAAUAGUGAAAAAAUUCAACAUGUAGGGCACAUUUUUAGACUACACGUAUAUUAUAGAGUGGUCAAAAUUAAAUAAGAAGAAAUUCAAGUUGCAAUGCUAGAAUAUAUAUUUUUUAUUUUAUUGGGUCAUUUUUCAAACAUAAAGUAUAUUACAAGGUCAAUUUGAACAAUUAACCCGUUAAAAUAAGAGAGAUGAACCCGUCAAUAGCGUACUAAAUAAAAUUUCAAGACUUAUUUGCGUGUGACAAUUUUCAGAUUGCCCAAAUUUUUCUUUUUGUAAAUGUGUUAACGGGCUUUUGGGUUGAGUCUAAUGUGCAAAAAUUAUCGAUCGAGCCCGGGCGAUCGUCUGGGGUCGCCAUACGGUAGAACCGCCCCUGCUAGGAACGAGGGGCGGAUCCACUUAGGUGUUAUGUGGAGCUAAAGCUCCACAUGUUUUUUCCUUUUUUUUUUGUUAUAAUUGAUAAAACGAAAAAGAAGUGACUUAGUAAAUAAUUCUCUCAUUUUCCCUUCUCUCUUAGUCUCGUAAAGUCAUUUCUAGUUUUUACGUGACAAAUUAUUGAGGAUGUCUGAGUUUUAUCCAAAUGAUUUUAUAGAUAUGUCGGAAGUGACGUUACGCACUCAACUUGUGAAUUAUGUUACAAAUGUUUAAAAUUUGCUAAGUUCAAAGGGCUUUUAGAUCUUUAUGCAAAACUUGUGGAAACAAAUAAGUGCAAACAAGAUGUAUGUUAGCACACUACUGUAUAUUAGACUAUUUGAUCUGCGAGUUUUUGUGUUUCUUACACAAUCUCGACGAGAAUAAUAUUUAUCGAUUAACAAAAAAUACAUUUAACUAAUUUGCAUUAUUAUACAAGGGUGAUUAAAUGGAGUAAGCCGAAUAGAGGUCGAAUGAAAUGUAAUAUUGAUGCAUCGUUUCCUAAUAAUGAGAACCGAAUUUGAAUAGGCAUUUGCAUUUGGGAUGAUGAAGGUGCAUUUGUGAUUGCAAUAACAUAAUGUUUAACUUCAAAGUGUGAUGUGCACAUUGAUGAAGCAUUGGGUUUGUUGACAACUCUUCAAUGGGUGCAUGAGUUACAUACAGUUAGGGCCUAUAGAGUUCGAACUUGAUUCCAAAAAAAGUGGUUGAUAGCUUUGGAGCUAAUAGGCAUGAUUCGACGGAAUUUGGAGCUAUUAUUAAUUAUUGUAAAAUAUUGUUUAAUCAUUUAUAUGAAAACUCGAGUGUAGAGUUUGUUCGGAGACAAGCAAAUGGGGUUGUCCAUGAAUUAGCAAAGGCGGCCACAUUAUCGAUUAGUUUCCAUAUUUUGGUUAUGCCACCACAUUGUAUUGAACACAUUUUAAUUAAUGAUAUUCUAUAAGUUUUCCCCUCUAAAAAAAAAACUAAUUUGCAUUAUUAUUUAUAUGAAAUUUUAACUACAUAUAUACCGAAAGUAUAGAUUUGCCCAUGGUAGAAACCCGUCAAAAUUUGUUAUUUCCACCAAUUAGUGAAUACUAUCCAUUUUACAAAGCCAUCAUUCGGUUAAGAAACUGUCAAAUUGUUAUCCUGCAUUCACUUAUAAUAGCAUGUGUCUUUCACUGUUAGACAAACAAACAAAUAUUAACAGCUUAAACUUUUUGAGAAUUUGUACAUAUUUUAAAAAAAUAUCAUAUGAAUAUGUAUUUAAUCUCACUUUUUGUACUUUACUACUAAAGAAGGUUUCAGAUUUCGCCACCAGAAUACUUUCCAUGUACUUCUCUUAUUUUAUCAUCACAUCUCUCACUUUCUUCUUUCAAGGUAGUUUUAUGAUCUAUUAAAAAGUUCACGGGGAAAUAAACAUCUAAGUAGGUUUUAGGCUAUGCCAAACUCUUUAAAAAGUUACGUUAGAUCCUUAAAAAAAGUUAUGUUAGAUCCUUAAAAGAUCAGAUUGAGAGACAAGGAAAGGGGCAUGUAAUUUCUUGGAUUGCUACAUGAAUAUCUACAAGUACAGACAAUUCAAUUUAGGAUUAAUGGUGUUUUUGGAUUAUUAUUGAAGAAGAAGAAGGUGAGGGGGGUACAUUACAACAA